rnacentral:rRNA from 1 species
UACGGGGGGGGCAAGCGUUGUUCGGAAUUACUGGGCGUAAAGGGCUCGUAGGCGGCCAACUAAGUCCGACGUGAAAUCCCCAGGCUUAACCUGGGAACUGCGUCGGAUACUGGAUGGCUUGAAUUCGGGAGAGGAUGCAGAAUUCCAGGUGUAGCGGUGAAAUGCGUAGAUAUCUGGAGGAAUACCGGUGGCGAAGGCGGAUCUCUGGGCCUUACCUGACGCUCAGGUGCGAAAGCUAGGGGAGCGAACAGG